rnacentral:rRNA from 1 species
GACGAACGCUGGCGGCGUGCUUAACACAUGCAAGUCGAACGGACCUUAUUAAAGCUUGCUUUAUGAAAGGUUAGUGGCGAACGGGUGAGUAACACGUGGGCAAUCUGCCCUUUAGACAGGGACAACACCCCGAAAGGGGUGCUAAUACCUGAUACGUUCCUUUAUUCGCAUGAAAAAAGGAAGAAAGGUGGCCUCUAUAUAAAAGCUACCGCUAAAGGAUGAGCCUGCGUCUGAUUAGCUAGUUGGAGUGGUAACGGCACACCAAGGCAACGAUCAGUAGCCGGUCUGAGAGGAUGAACGGCCACACUGGGACUGAGACACGGCCCAGACUCCUACGGGAGGCAGCAGUGGGGAAUUUUCCGCAAUGGACGAAAGUCUGACGGAGCAACGCCGCGUGAGUGAAGAAGGCCUUCGGGUUGUAAAGCUCUUUUGUUAGGGACGAAUGUGCCGAGUGUAAAUAAUGCUUGGUAAUGACGGUACCUAAAGAAAAAGCCACGGCUAACUACGUGCCAGCCGCCGCGGUAAAAC